rnacentral:rRNA from 1 species
AUUGAACGCUGGCGGCAUGCUUUACACAUGCAAGUCGAACGGCAGCGCGGGCUUCGGCCUGGCGGCGAGUGGCGAACGGGUGAGUAAUACAUCGGAACGUGCCCAGUAGUGGGGGAUAGCUCGGCGAAAGCCGGAUUAAUACCGCAUCCGACCUGAGGGUGAAAGCGGGGGAUCUUCGGACCUCGCGCUAUUGGAUCGGCCGAUGGCAGAUUAGCUAGUUGGUGGGGUAAAGGCCUACCAAGGCGACGAUCUGUAGCUGGUCUGAGAGGACGACCAGCCACACUGGGACUGGAACACGGCCCAGACUCCUACGGGAGGCAGCAGUGGGGAAUUUUGGAAAAUGGGCGAAAGCCUGAUCCAGCAAUGCCGCGUGUGUGAUGAAGGCCUUCGGGUUGGAAAGCACUUUUGGCGGGAACGAAAAGGACUGUGCCAAUACCACGGUUCGAUGACGGUACCCGCAGAAUAAGCACCGGCUAACUACGUG